GGGGAAUUUUGGACAAUGGGCGAAAGCCUGAUCCAGCCAUUCCGCGUGAGUGAAGAAGGCCUUCGGGUUGUAAAGCUCUUUCGGCAGGAACGAAACGCUCUAGAUUAAUACUCUGGGGUAAUGACGGUACCUGAAGAAGAAGCACCGGCUAACUACGUGCCAGCAGCCGCGGUAAUACGUAGGGUGCGAGCGUUAAUCGGAAUUACUGGGCGUAAAGCGUGCGCAGGCGGUUUUGUAAGACAGAUGUGAAAUCCCCGGGCUUAACCUGGGAACUGCGUUUGUGACUGCAAGACUCGAGUACGGCAGAGGGGGGUGGAAUUCCACGUGUAGCAGUGAAAUGCGUAGAGAUGUGGAGGAACACCGAUGGCGAAGGCAGCCCCCUGGGUCGAUACUGACGCUCAUGCACGAAAGCGUGGGGAGCAAAC
rnacentral:rRNA from 1 species